UUUGACAACAGAGGGAAAAAAGCCUGUUUUAGGACUCUCAGGCUGGGAGGUAGCUGUUUUCGUGGGGCUACUGAAGUCUGAAAUGACCUCUUUUUAUAUCUUGAAGAACUAAAUCGACUGCAAAAAGGUUACAUCGUGCCUUUUCUCUUCCACAUGACGGAGAUCUUCAAAGUAAGCAUCUUUCAAAGCAGUGACAAGCAAAAUACAGCUGGAAGAUCAGUAACUCUCUGUUAAGCAGCUUUGCUUGCUGUCAUUGUUGACUGCCAGGGGGUGGUGAUCCAUGUCAGUCACUAAAAUGACACCUUGGCAAGACUGCUGUCUGCUCCUGGAGUUUUUGUGUAUGGAAACAAUUUUAAGGUUCCCAGGCAGGAAACUCAAAAGAGAGGUCAGAGAAGGAUGAGAAUCCUCAUGCUAUUUGGCAUCUUAUUGUAAGACGUGGUGGAAUGUGUUCAGCAAGUAAAUUUGGCAGAAUUGAAGAGUAAUGGAUUGGCAUAUCAAAAUGCAUAUACAAAAAAUUAAUCAAGGCAAACAACUUCAUUCAUAGUGUUACAGUAAACAAGUUUUAGUAUAGGAUUUUAAAAGUCUUAGAUUCAAGUUGUG
rnacentral:lncRNA from 1 species